ensembl:snRNA U6 U6 spliceosomal RNA
GUGCUCAUUUGGGCAGCAUAAAAACUAAAACUGGAAUAAUAGAGAAGGUUAGCAUGACCCCUGUGCAGGGGUGACAAGAAAAAUUGUGAAGCAUUCCAUAUGUUU